rnacentral:rRNA from 1 species
UACGUAGGGACCGAGCGUUGUCCGGAUUCAUUGGGCGUAAAGAGCUCGUAGGCGGCCACUCAAGUCGAAUGUGAAACCUCGAGGCUUAACCUCGAGCCUGCAUUCGAUACUGGGCGGCUAGAGUCUGGUAGGGGGAUCUGGAAUUCCUGGUGUAGCGGUGGAAUGCGCAGAUAUCAGGAGGAACACCGGUGGCGAAGGCGGGAUCCUGGGCCAGUACUGACGCUGAGGAGCGAAAAGCGUGGGGAGCAAACAGG